rnacentral:tRNA from 1 species
UGGAUCACCUCCUAACAGGGAGACAACAAAAUGUUAAAUAUUAAUUUUGUCACCUUAGGUCGAUCGGUAUCUCACAUUCUUAAUUUAUUAAGGAUUUCAUUUCCUAAGUUUUUCUAGGUCACACCCAUUUUUCCUGGGCCAUUAGCUCAGGUGGUUAGAGCGCACCCCUGAUAAGGGUGAGGUCCCUGGUUCAAGUCCAGGAUGGCCCAUAUCUCUAUGUUGGGGGUAUAGCUCAGUUGGUAGAGCGCCUGCUUUGCAAGCAGGAUGUCAGCGGUUCGAGUCCGCUUACCUCCACUGAUUACCACCUCUUCCAUAAUUAAAGGAAAAUGUUUUGGGUUGUGAUCAAAUUCUGAACGAAUCUAGCUUCCUAGUGAAACCGCUAAGAUGCUGGACUCAUUGAAUUGAUUUCAUUGUUUUCAGAGAACCUUGACAACUGCAUAGAUUAUUUUUAAAGACAAUAAGCAUCUUUAAUGAUGCAGAUUUAUUAUUUGUGCGAAUGCAUUAAUAACAAUUCUAUUAAGCUGAUGCUUCAAUUUUUGAAGUUAUUGGUCAAGCUACAAAGGGCUCACGGAGGAUACCUAGGCACACAGAGGCGAUGAAGG